AUACUUACCUGGCAGGGGAGACACCAUGAUGAAAAAGGUGGUUUUCCCAGGGCGAGGUGCAUCCAUUGCUCUCCGGAUGUGCUGACCCCUGCGAUUUCCCCAAAUGUGGGAAACUCGACUGUAUCAUUUGUGGUAGUGGGGGCCUGCGUUCGUGGUCUCCCCUG